GUCUACCAAUUUGGUCCACCUUAGAUCAUUAUCAUAGAUAAUGGGCACUAGUUUGAUAAUAUGAAGUUCAGAAAAUCCUACAAAGAGCUUGGGUUCAUGCAUUAACUAACCUCAAUGGAUCACUUGCAGACUGAGGUUGAGGUAACUAAUCAAAUCUUAUUGCAAGGGCUAAAGAUGAGAUUGGAUCAAGCUAAGGGCCUC
rnacentral:lncRNA from 1 species